AAAGCACUCGCCACGCAGAGAUCGGUCCUUUCUAUCCUGCAGAGCCAUCUGCUAAAGGAUUUCUGGGAGCUGAGCUGAGCCGAGUCCCUCAUCGGGGCGUCAGUCAGCAGGAAGCGCCCGCCCUGUCUGCUUGCUUUAUUCCUGGAGGAGGAGGCGGAGCUGCUCCCAAGGGCAGGCCACUGGCGGAGACGCCGGUGUGCAGCUCCAGUGCUACGCUAACAACACCUGCGUGAAGGCACUGACCUUGAGGCAACGGGCCAAAGUCCCAGACUAACGAAGCACAACCAAAACUACAAAAGCUAUCUCCACGUACCCUUACCCCCUCGGUCUUCAUGACCAUGAAGACCGGCUUCUGGAUGUCUGCGUUGCUUGGUUCGGCGGGACAAGGGAACCUGCCGUUAAAAUAACAAUCCCAACUAAGGCAGAACGCAUGAUUUCCUUAAAAAACAAAACCAAAUAAAAACAGAAAAACCUUGCAACUGAAA